rnacentral:rRNA from 1 species
CCUACGGGUGGCUGCAGUGGGGGAUAUUGCACAAUGGGGGGAACCCUGAUGCAGCGACGCCGCGUGGGUGAAGAAGCGCCUCGGCGCGUAAAGCCCUGUCAGCAGGGAAGAAAAUGACGGUACCUGAAGAAGAAGCCCCGGCUAACUACGGGCCAGCAGCCGCGGUAAUACGUAGGGGGAAAGCGUGAGCCGGAUUUACUGGGUGUAAAGGGGGCGCAGACGGGGGUGCAAGGCGGGGGUGAAAGCCCGGGGCCCAACCCCGGGACUGCUCUUGAAACUGGGGGGCUGGAGUGCAGGAGGGGGAGGCAGAAUUCCUGGUGUAGCGGUGAAAUGCGUAGAGAUCAGGAGGAAAACCGGUGGCGAAGGCGGCCUGCUGGACAGCAACUGACGUUGAGGUCCGAAAGCGUGGGGAGCAAACAGGAUUAGAUACCCUAGUAGUC